ensembl:lncRNA
AGAAAACCCCAACAAUCCCCUCUGAGCAAGCACUAGGCGACAGUGGAUAGGAAAAACUCCCUUUAAAGGAAGAAACCUAUGACAGAACCAGGCUCUAGAGGGGGCAGUCAACUGUCGGGACUGGUUGGGGGGUGAGUGUGAAAAAAGAGAGGGGUGGGGGAGGGGGGGAGGUGUUAGUAAUUAAAGGGGGGAGGGGGGGAUUAAGUUGGAACGGAGGUGGAGGAAGACAAGGUGACAUCGGCAGCGGUGAAAGGAGUGUCCCUCCUCCGGAAGAAGCGAAAGAAGCGUCUUUUCUUCUUCUCCAGUUGCUUUUCCACGAGCACUUUUUUCUCGAGGAUGAGGAUUUUCAACUCCUCGAUUGUUUCGGUAUUUUGCUGCUCCAGUUUAUUGCAUUUUUUCUCCACUUCUUCUAAUUCAGCUUGUUUGUCUUCCAACCUUUCUUUCAGUACUUUAGAUGUUGCCUCCUGUUUUUGCAGUUUUUCAUUUUCUCCUUCCAGCUCAGUUACUUUGUACUUCAUUUUGUUAUGAAGUUCUUGCAGCUCUUGAUAUUUCUGCAGUGUCUCAUCAAACUUUACCUGCAGCAUCCUGUCUUUUCCCUCCAUGUGCUGGAGUUGGCACUCCAUGUCUCCCUGCUUUCUGUCCAGCUGCUUUUUCUCUUGGAGGAUUUCUUUAUUUUGUCGCAGAGCUUCAUCAAGCUUUCCUUGCAAGCUUUCAUUUUGUUGCUCGAUGCUCUGAAGCUUGCAAUCCAUUUCCUUUUGUUUGAUCUCUUGUUCCCUUUUCUCUUGAAGAAGCUUCUCAUUUGCUUGCAGUGUGUCACCAAGCCUUUUUUUGUCAACACUGUAAAUUAGCUCCAUGUCUCUGAGAUCGCAGCGCAUCCCUCUCUUCUUCAUGCUCUCUUGUUUCUUUUCUUGGACGAGUUUUUUAUUUUGUCGCAGAGCUUCAUCAAGCUUUCCUUGCAAGCUUUCAUUGUGUUGCUUGAUGCUCUGAAGCUUGUGAUCCAUUUCUUUUUGUUUGAUCUCCUGUUGCCUUUUCUCUUGAAGAAGCUUUUCAUUUGCUUGCAGUGUGUCAUCAAGCCUUUUUUUCUCUACACUGUACAUUAACUCCAAGUCUCGGAGAUUGCGGUCCAUCCCUCUCUUCUUCGUGCCCUCUAGUUUCUUCUCUUGGAGGAGUUUUUUAUUUUGCUGCAGAGCUUGAUCAAGCUUUCCUUGAAGCUCCUGGUUCUUUUUGUCCAUGUCCCGGAGAUCCUGUUGUUUCUCCUCAAUAAUAGCUUCCUUUUCUAGAAGCUGGUAGGACAACUUUAUUAAUUCAGCCCUGUUUCUUUCAUUUUCCUCCAUCAAUAACUUAACCUUCUCUGUGUCCGUGAGCGUUUCAUCCUCCAUUUCUUCCAAGCACGUUUCCUCUAUUUCUACUUGGUCACCCCAAGGAAGAGAGGAGAGGUAAGGGUCUAGUGGCUGAUCCCAGGGCUGAUCCGUGAGCGUUUCAUCCUCCAUUUCUUCCAAGCACGUUUCCUCUAUUUCUACUUGGUCACCCCAAGGAAGGGAGGAGAGGUAAGGGUCUAGUGGCUGAUCCCAGGGAAGAGCGUAGGGGUCAACUUCUUGUCCCUUUGGAUCUUCUGUUUGAGACAUGUUGGGUCUGGAAACAGUGACUAUUGCAAAGGAUCCAAAUAUUUCAAAAGGCUUUUCUGGCGAACGGUUCAAUGCUGCAAAGAUCAGUGCAGCGAGAAACGGACUAAAAGUCAUUGCGUUUCACCGCUAUUUGUGGGUUUUAAGGAUCAAAGGACCAAAGGAUCAAAGUGGUGGUAAGAUUCUACAUGUGCGUGACGUCAUGAUUCUGUAAGGCAAUGAGGUUGUCACAUGAUAUUUUUGGAGGAGGGCAUUUUUCAACUUGGACAAAUUAUCAGUAAAGUUUCAAUCUCUGUUAUUUUCCCCAAAAAACGUGUUGUCGCAAUAAUGUUUUCUACGGUCAUUGGUGCCAACAGAUGGCGGCAGUUUAAAGUUGGGUGUUACUCUGCCCAGGCUGCUACCAUAGAAGAAGAAUGUAGACCAAUAGUACUUUAACGAUUUCCGCUGAUCGUUUCCGUGUAAAUCUUAGCAUUGCGUUACCCGUUAGGCUGAAAGUUUAGUUUCAUACUGCCAUAUUUUCGGAGUAACAAAAUAUUUAAACGGUCUCAGAUCAUGGACAGUGAAGUGUCUGACACUGACCAUGUACCAGUGCCUGAGAACACUGGUAUGGAGGGGGAGAACGCACCUCUUUACUGCAUUUGUCGGAAACCAGACAUCAACUGCUUCAUGAUCCUUUGCCAUGAUAAAUUGGUCAGUUUACAACCAGGAGCCGUACACCUUAACCUCAGAGGCCAGGACAUCCAGGGCAGUGUGAAACACACUUCUUUAAAUGGGAUGUAGUACUGUCUAUAGAGGGCCACCCCUCGCCAGACAACCAAGUGCUGUCCCUGUGCACGGCCAGUGUGAGAAGGACUCUCACUAAAGUCAACCCACACAAAGCUGCUGGACCAGACAAUAUACCCGGACGUGUGCUCGGAGCCUGUGCUGACCAGCUGACUGAUGUCCUAGCGGGCAUCUUUAACAUCUCCCUGAGUCAAGCUGUUGUGCCAAGUGCUUUAAAACCACCACCAUCUUACCUGUACCAAAGACAGCUACAGCCUCGCAGUUCGAAGACAAUGGACGAUGCGAUCUCAUUGGCACUCCACCUAGCCCUAUCACAACUGGAUCAAUGCAACGUCCACCUAAGAAUGCUGUUCACUGAUUUCAUCUUAGCAUUCAACACCAUCAUUGCCCAGCAGCUGAUCGGCAAGCUGGACCUGCUCAGACUUAACACCUCCACCUGCAACAGGAUCCUGGUCUUUCUUACUGAUGGACCCCAGACAGUACAGGUUGGAAAUAUAAGAUCCAACACCAUCACACUGAGCACAGCCCACCCCCCCGGGGAUGUGUGCUGAGCCCGCUACUCUUCACGCUGCUGACCCACGACUGCACCUCCAGCUCCAACAUGUGAUGAGUCAAUGUUGUGAUUGUUUGUGAUUUAUGUGGGACUCCUCCCACCAAAGGAUGGCUGUGGGUUUUUGUUUCUCUCUCUCUCUCAGGUGUGUACACCUAGGUGUGUCUUACUGGAGUCCAGCGCCUGCUGAGUCAUUGGGUGGAAUUCAUUCCUGUUCUGGGAUUGAAUAGUUGGUUGAUCACCCCAGUAGUGAUGACAACCCCCUGGUCCCCUCUCUCCUAGCCUCCACCACCCAACAAACAGUCUGUGCUUCCAAGUGUUACUUAGUGUCUUUGUCUGAAAACUUAAUAAAUUGUUAACUGUUGACUCAGUUUUCUCCUGUUUUUCACUUAGAAGGUCAGGUAAGUAAAUUGUCUUUUGGUUGGAUUUUUUUUUCUUU